rnacentral:rRNA from 1 species
UACGUAGGGUGCAAGCGUUGUCCGGAAUUAUUGGGCGUAAAGAGCUCGUAGGCGGUUUGUUGCGUCGGCUGUGAAAUCCCGAGGCUCAACCCCGGGCCUGCAGCCGAUACGGGCAGACUAGAAUUCGGUAGGGGAGACUGGAAUUCCUGGUGUAGCGGUGAAAUGCGCAGAUAUCAGGAGGAACACCGGUGGCGAAGGCGGGUCUCUGGGCCGAUAUUGACGCUGAGGAGCGAAAGCGUGGGGAGCGAACAGG